rnacentral:rRNA from 1 species
GCGAGCGUUAUCCGGAUUUAUUGGGCGUAAAGGGAACGCAGGCGGUCUUUUAAGUCAGCGGUGAAAAUUCGGGGCUCAACCCCGUCCGGCCGUUGAAACUGGGGGCCUUGAGUGGGCGAGAAGAAGGCGGAAUGCGUGGUGUAGCGGUGAAAUGCAUAGAUAUCACGCAGAACCCCGAUUGCGAAGGCAGCCUUCCGGCGCCCUACUGACGCUGAGGCACGAAAGUGCGGGGAUCGAACG